AAACGCAACAAAGAAGGAGAAAGGAAAGAAAGAAAAAAAAGAAAGAAAAGGGAAUUUUGGGGUUUUGAAGUUCCAAGCUCAAUUGCUAGCGUCGUACCGGAAUUCUCGACUAAAAAGGGGAAAAAUAUAGUCGAUGAGGAAUAGCUCGGAAUUCCUGGUUAAGUACUUAAGUUUGAUCGCUGAUUAAGCAUCCAACAACAAUCCCGAACUCAAUUAUGGUGAUGUUUAUUUCUUUGUGUCGGCAUGUACCUAGAGUGUCUAAAUAUUAGUUAUUUUGUGGCUUGAUUGUAAAUG